CCUACGGGAGGCAGCAGUGGGGAAUAUUGCACAAUGGGGGAAACCCUGAUGCAGCGACGCCGCGUGAGUGAAGAAUUAUUUCGGUAUGUAAAGCUCUGUCAGCAGGGAAGAAACUGACGGUACCUGACCAAUCAGCCCCGGCUCACUACGUGCCAGCAGCCGCGGUAAUACGUAGGGGGCAAGCGUUAUCCGGAUUCACUGGGUGUAAAGGGAGCGUAGGCGGCAAUGCAAGCCAGGGGUGAAGGCCCGGGGCCCAACCGCGGGACUGCCCGUGGAACUGGAGGGCUGGAGUGCGGAAGGGGCAGGCGGAAUUCCUGGUGGAGCGGUGAAAUGCGUAGAUAUCAGGAGGAACACCGGCGGCGAAGGCGGCCUGCUGGACCGCGACUGACGUUGAGGCUCGAAAGCGUGGGGAGCGAACAGGAUUAGAUACCCCAGUAGUC
rnacentral:rRNA from 1 species